AACGAACGCUGGCGGCGUGCCUAACACAUGCAAGUCGUGCGAGAAAAGGGUGGCAACACUCUGAGUAAAGCGGCGAACGGGUGAGUAACACGUAGGUAACCUGUCCCCGAGCCUGGGAUAACCUGUCGAAAGACGGGCUAAUACCGGAUACGACCGCCGGAGCAUCAGCUCCAGCGGUGAACGGUCGCCUCUUCUUGCAGGCUGUCACUGGGGGCGGGGCAUGCGGGCCCUUAGCUAGUUGGUGAGGUAAUGGCGCACCAAGGUGAAGAUGGGUAGCUGGUCUGAGAGGAUGACAAGCCACACUGGGACUGAAACACGGCCCAGACUCCUACGGGAGGCAGCAGUGAGGAAUAUUGCGCAAUGGGCGAAAGCAUGACGCAGCGACGCCGCGUGGUGAUGAAGGCCUUCGGGUCGUAAAGCCCUGUCAGAGGGGACGAAACCGCCCCGACCUAAUACGUCGGGGACCUGACGGUACCCUCAAAGGAAGCACCGGCUAACUCCGUGCCAGCCGCCGCAGUAA
rnacentral:rRNA from 1 species